AAGUCCCGCAACGAGCGCAACCCUUAUCCUUAGUUGCUAACAGUUAGGCUGAGAACUCUAAGGAGACUGCCGGUGACAAACCGGAGGAAGGUGGGGACGACGUCAAGUCAUCAUGGCCCUUACGGGAUGGGCUACACACGUGCUACAAUGGCAAGUACAAAGGGUUGCAAACUCGCGAGAGUAAGCGGAUCCCAUAAAGCUUGUCGUAGUCCGGAUUGGAGUCUGCAACUCGACUCCAUGAAGUCGGAAUCGCUAGUAAUCGUAGAUCAGAAUGCUACGGUGAAUACGUUCCCGGGCCUU
rnacentral:rRNA from 1 species